rnacentral:rRNA from 1 species
UGGGGAAUAUUGGACAAUGGGCGAAAGCCUGAUCCAGCCAUGCCGCGUGGGUGAAGAAGGCCCUAGGGUUGUAAACCCCUUUCAGCGGGGAAGAUAAUGACGGUACCCGCAGAAGAAGCCCCGGCUAACUCCGUGCCAGCAGCCGCGGUAAUACGGAGGGGGCUAGCGUUGUUCGGAAUUACUGGGCGUAAAGCGCGCGUAGGCGGACCUGCAAGUCGGGGGUGAAAGCCCGAGGCUCAACCUCGGAACUGCCUUCGAUACUGCGGGUCUCGAGUCCGGGAGAGGUGAGUGGAAUUCCUGGUGUAGAGGUGAAAUUCGUAGAUAUUAGGAAGAACACCAGUGGCGAAGGCGGCUCACUGGCCCGGUACUGACGCUGAGGCGCGAAAGCGUGGGGAGCAAACAGG